AGUACAGACGAGUUUGAUCCUGGCUCAGAAUGAACGUUGGCGGCAUGGAUUAGGCAUGCAAGUCGAGCGCGAUAGGUUUGGUGCUUGCAUUAAACCUUGAAAGCGGCGAAAGGGAGAGUAACGCGUAGGAUAUCUGCCCCCGGGACUGGGAUAGCGGUGGGAAACUGCCGGUAAUACCAGAUAAUGUCUCCGGACCAAAGGUGUGAUUCCGCCUGGGGAUGAUCCUGCGUCCUAUUAGCUAGUUGGUAGGGUAAUGGCCUACCAAGGCUUUGAUGGGUAGCGGGCGUGAGAGCGUGGCCCGUCUCACUGGGACUGAGAUACUGCCCAGACACCUAUGGGUGGCUGCAGUCGAGAAUCUUCCGCAAUGGGCGAAAGCCUGACGGAACGAUGCCGCGUGCGGGAUGAAGGCCUUCGGGUUGUAAACCGCUGUCAGUGGGGUGGAAAUUGUUUGGGGUUCUCCUCAUUCAUUGACCUAACCGCAGAGGAAGUCCGGGCUAAGUACGUG
rnacentral:rRNA from 1 species